AACGAACGCUGGCGGCAUGCCUAACACAUGCAAGUCGAACGAAACCUCCGGGUCUUUUGGCGUACGGGUGCGUAACGCGUGGGAACCUGCCCUUAGGUUCGGAAUACCUCAGAGAAAUUUGAGCUAAUACCGGAUGAUGUCUUCGGACCAAAGAUUUCUCGCGUUUAGCUGGGCCCGCGUUGGAUUAGCUCGUUGGGGGGGUAAAGGCCUACUAAGGCGACGAUCCAUAGCUGGUCUGAGAGGAUGAUCAGCCACACUGGGACUGAGACACGGCCCAGACUCCUACGGGAGGCAGCAGUGGGGAAUAUUGGACAAUGGGCGAAAGCCUGAUCCAGCAAUGCCGCGUGAGUGAUGAAGGCCUUAGGGUUGUAAAGCUCUUUUACCCGAGAUGAUAAUGACGGUAUCGGGAGAAUAAGCUCCGGCUAACUCCGUG
rnacentral:rRNA from 1 species